rnacentral:rRNA from 1 species
GAUGAACGCUAGCGGCAGGCUUAAUACAUGCAAGUCGAGGGCAGCGCGGGUAGCAAUACCUGGCGGCGACCGGCAAACGGGUGCGGAACACGUACGCAACCUUCCCAAAACUGGGGAAUAGCCCUCCGAAAGGAGGAUUAAUACCCCGUAACAUAACGAAGAGGCAUCUUUUUGUUAUUAUAGCUCAGGCGGUUUUGGAUGGGCGUGCGGCUGAUUAGGUAGUUGGCGGGGUAACGGCCCACCAAGCCUGCGAUCAGUAACUGGUGUGAGAGCACGACCAGUCACACGGGCACUGAGACACGGGCCCGACUCCUACGGGAGGCAGCAGUAAGGAAUAUUGGUCAAUGGACGCAAGUCUGAACCAGCCAUGCCGCGUGAAGGAUGAAGGCCCUCUGGGUUGUAAACUUCUUUUAUCUGGGACGAAAAAAGGGAAUUCUUUCUCACUUGACGG